rnacentral:rRNA from 1 species
CUAACACAUGCAAGUCGAGCGGUAUGGCCCUUCGGGGUACACGAGCGGCGAACGGGGGAGUAACACGUGGGUGACCUGCCCUCCACUCUGGGAUAAGCCUGGGAAACUGGGUCUAAUACCGGAUAUGACCACGGAUCGCAUGGUGUGUGGUGGAAAGUUUUUUCGGUGGGGGAUGGGCCCGCGGCCUAUCAGCUUGUUGGUGAGGUGAUGGCUCACCAAGGCGACGACGGGUAGCCCCCGUGAGAGGGCGACCGGCCACACUGGGACUGAGACACGGCCCAGACUCCUACGGGAGGCAGCAGUGGGGAAUAUUGCGCAAUGGGCGGAAGCCUGACGCACCGACCCCGCGUGGGGGAUGACGGCCUUCGGGUUGUAAACCUCUUUCGCCAGGGACGAAGCGAAAGUGACGGUACCUGGAUAAGAAGCACCGGCCAACUACGUGCCAGCAGCCGCGGUAACACGUAGGGUGCGAGCGUUGUCCGGAAUUAUUGGGCGUAAAGAGCUCGUAGGCGGUCUGUCGCGUCGGUCGUGAAAACUUGGGGCGGGUCCUGAGCUUGCGGUCGAUACGGGCAUGACUGGAGUUCGGCAGGGGAGACUGGAAUUCCUGGUGUAGCGGUGAAAUGCGCAGAUAUCAGGAGGAACACCGGUGGCGAAGGCGGGUCUCUGGGCCGAUACUGACGCUGAGGAGCGAAAGCGUGGGGAGCGAACAGGAUUAGAUACCCUGGUAGUCCACGCCGUAAACGUUGGGCGCUAGGUGUGGGGGCCAUUCCACGGUCUCUGUGCCGCAGCUAACGCAUUAAGCGCCCCGCCUGGGGAGUACGGCCGCAAGGCUAAAACUCAAAGGAAUUGACGGGGGCCCGCACAAGCGGCGGAGCAUGUGGAUUAAUUCGAUGCAACGCGAAGAACCUUACCUGGGUUUGACAUGCACAGGACGCUGGUAGAGAUAUCAGUUCCCUUGUGGCCUGUGUGCAGGUGGUGCAUGGUUGUCGUCAGCUCGUGUCGUGAGAUGUUGGGUUAAGUCCCGCAACGAGCGCAACCCUUGUUCCAUGUUGCCAGCACGUAAUGGUGGGGACUCAUGGGAGACUGCCGGGGUCAACUCGGAGGAAGGUGGGGAUGACGUCGGGUCAUCAUGCCCCUUAUGUCCAGGGCUUCACACAUGCUACAAUUGCCAGUACAGAGGGCUGCGAGACCGUGAGGUGGAGCGAAUCUCUUAAAGCUGGUCUCAGUUCGGAUUGGGGUUUGCAACUCGACCCCAUGAAGUUGGAGUCGCUAGUAAUCGCAGAUCAGCUACGCUGCGGUGAAUACGUUCCCGGGCCUUGUACACACCGCCCGUCACGUCACGAAAUUUGGUAACUCCUGAAGCCGGCUAGUCCAACCCUUUUGGAGG